CUGUUCCUACGGGGGGCAGCAGUAGGGAAUCUUCCACAAUGGACGAAAGUCUGAUGGAGCAACGCCGCGUGAGUGAAGAAGGGUUUCGGCUCGUAAAGCUCUGGUGGUAGUGAAGAAAGAUAGAGGUAGUAACUGGCCUUUAUUUUACGGUAAUUACUUAGAAAGUCACGGCUAACUACGUGCCAGCAGCCGCGGUAAUACGUAGGUGGCAAGCGUUGUGCGGAUUUAUUUGGCGUAAAGAGAGUGCAGGCGG
rnacentral:rRNA from 1 species